rnacentral:lncRNA from 1 species
AUGCAAACAUUCCCAGCCCCGUGCUUUUGUGCAGGCAUCUCGCUGUAUGCGCUGGGCACGGAGCGGCGCGCGCGCGCUCGCCUUUCCCUCGGCGGCCCCCCGCGGCUCGGACCCGGGACUGCAGACAGGCCAUCCAUCAUUCGCCCUCCUCCCGCGAGCUUGGCUGCCGCGGCCAAUCCGGCGGCAGGUGGGGCCGCACCUGCAGGACAGCCCGCCACUUCCCUCCGCUCUCUCCGCCGCGCCCGGCGUGUUAGCGAUGCCCUUGUGAGCCACUGCAUUCUCCAAGGCCAGAACGAGACAGUGCAGCCCCAUGAAGUAUCCACUGCAAUAACAACCACAUACAGAAGGGCCCAGGGAAUUGAUUCUUUGGGGAUUAGAGAUAAGACUCUGGGAAUUUAUAGAAACAAACAUCAGAAGACUGAAAUGUGGAGAGAAGAAGGCUGCCUGACUAGGGAAUCUCAGGAAACAAGGAAAACAUCAAGAAUAUAG